rnacentral:tRNA from 1 species
GAGGGUACAGCUCAGGGGUAGAGCGCGUGCUUAGCAUACACAAGGUCCUGGGUUCAAUACCCAGUACGUCCU